GACUCAAAACUGACGCAUGCAGGAAAUUCACACAUCAGCAGAGCAGCUCAGGAGUCACAUCACAUGGUUCAGAGUCAGAGACACAGCAAACAGAAAAACAGACCGAAGUCUCCUCUAAACUACUCCGAGAUCACUAUGACUAGAACUCUCUUAUACACACUGUUCUUUAUUUUAUUGAAAGGUUCCUGUAAGGGUGUAUUAAUCACUCAGUGGCCUAAAUAUAUCUCCAGCUUUAUAAACUCCUCAGUGGACAUGCACUGUUACCAGAACGACACAGACUAUCAGUACACUUACUGGUACAGACAGCUCGAAGGCAAAGAGCCGGUGCUCAUAGCCUCAUAUGUAGCUCGCAAUCCAAGGUACGAGACAGGGUUUGAAAAAAGUGUAACAGUUUGGGGAUCAGAAACUAAGAAGUGGUCCCUGACAGUGACUGUUGGAGAGGACAGUGGUGCAGUUUACCUGUGUGCUGCUAGUUUCCACAGUGAAUAAAUACUGAUCAUCUGUGGGACAAAAACAUGCUGGAAGUCUGCCAGUCUUCACAUCUGACUUAACCACAUGGCUCCAGUGCAGCGUCACUGAGGAUCCUUCAUUAAGCAGCAAAGUCACUCAGACGGCUGAUGUGAUCGAGAAUCCAGGAAUUAAUGUGAAUCUCAGUUGCAAACAUACUUACAACAACUAUUUUUACCUUUACUGGUACCAACAAACAAGA